UGCAGCCUACGGGAGGCAGCAGUAGGGAAUAUUGCUCAAUGGGGGAAACCCUGAAGCAGCAACGCCGCGUGGAGGAUGAAGGUUUUCGGAUUGUAAACUCCUUUUGUUAGAGAAGAUAAUGACGGUAUCUAACGAAUAAGCACCGGCUAACUCCGUGCCAGCAGCCGCGGUAAUACGGAGGGUGCAAGCGUUACUCGGAAUCACUGGGCGUAAAUAGCGCGUAGGCGGGAUAGCAAGGCAGAUGUGAAAUCCUAUGGCUUAACCAUGGAACUGCAUUUGAAACUGUUAUUCUAGAGAAUGGGAGA
rnacentral:rRNA from 1 species